AAUCAACGCUGGCGGCGCGCUUAACACAUGCAAGUCGAACGAGAAAGGGGGGCAACCCCCGAGUAAAGUGGCGUACGGGUGAGUAACACGUGGGUAAUCUGCCUCUGGGUGGGGAAUAACUCUGGGAAACCGGAGCUAAUACCGCAUAAGACCGGAAGGUGAAAGGCGAAAGUCGCCGAGAGAGGAGCCCGCGGCUGAUUAGCUGGAUGGUGGGGUAAAGGCUCACCAUGGCAAUGAUCAGUAGCCGGCCUGAGAGGGCACACGGCCACACUGGCACUGAAACACGGGCCAGACUCCUACGGGAGGCAGCAGUGGGGAAUCUUGCACAAUGGGGGAAACCCUGAUGCAGCGACGCCGCGUGAGCGAUGAAGCCCUUCGGGGUGUAAAGCUCUUUCGGCAGGGACGAUGAUGACGCUACCUGAAGAAGAAGCUGCGGCUAACUACGUGCCAGCAGCCGCGGUAAUACGUAGGCAGCGAGCGUUGUUCGGAGUUACUGGGACG
rnacentral:rRNA from 1 species